GUGCUCGCUUCGGCAGCACAUAUAGUAAAAUUGGAACGAUACAGAGAAAAUUAGCAUGGCCCCUGCGCAAGGAUGACACGUAAAUUCGUGAAACAUUUAGAAAUAUAUUU